ensembl:lncRNA
AAAGAUACGGUUUUAUUAUCAUUUGAAAGAGUCCUAUUGUAAAGUGAGCGCGACUCAGCUUUCCUAGAAGGGCUGAACUGCAUUGGCUCUGACUGUGGAGCCUACAAAGUGAGAACGGAGCAAAUAUGAGAGCUGCCUGCCGAGCUACCAUCACAAAGAAGACUUAAGCAUAAUGGCAAAUAAGCUAUAAACAGCAGAAGAUUACAAGUCUGCCUAUCGGAAAGGGAGGACCUGGAAGAGCCUUUCUGUGGGAACACUGGAGACAAAACCAAACCAACCGGACCUUGCUAUGUGUUACAUGAUGUGAUGCACGAAACAGCAGAGGAAUGAAUCUGGUGACUCAGCCCUAUUUCAGUCACACAAUGGGAUUUUGGCCUCACUACUACAGAGAGAACAAGCUUCAUAAGAACCCUCGAUUGAAAUGUUCAGAAAAGAAAACAGAAGAUUCCUCAUUGCUUUCUCAAACAGAACUGGCAAGGAAAAAAGAAAAUAGUUUAGACCAAAACUAUUUUUUCCAUUAGCAUUUACUGCUGGUCCUGUCUCCAACAUAUCAGCUAGGCACGUCCCUGGUGGGACAGAGAGCCAAGCAGCAAUGGAUGAAGAGAAGUGAAGAUGAGUCCAGGAUGAGCCAAUAAGAAGGAAACGGACGAUGACGUAGCAUGGAUGAGCUUUGAUGGAAGCAUCAGAAGCUGUCUAGGACUCAGAAAGGACCUUAAAAGAGCACAGAUGAAUCUCAGUGUAUUUUAGUCCUAUUGCUCUUGUGAAUGCCUCUUUCAGGUGUGCUGUGUUUCCAGCUUGACCCCUGACUGAAGCAUUUGCACACUCAGGAGAGCAUCUGUGCCUAUCAGAAGACUGAUUAGACUCUCUGAGAACAGUUUAUGGUUCUAUGUUUGCAGCUACAGACGACAGAAUCUUUCUGGAGCAGAAGAUAAGAGCUCAAGUUCAUAGAAUCUCAGAAUCCUUGGAGUUGGGAGGAAUCUUUGAAGGUCAGUUAGUCCAACUCCCCUGCCAUGAACAGGGACAUCCACAGCUGGAGCAGGUUGCUCAGGGCCUGAUCCAGUCUUGCCUUGAAAUUCUGCAGGGACAGGGCAUCCAUCACAUCUCUGGGCAACCUGUUCCAGUGCCUCACCACCCUCACUGUGAAAGACUUUUUGCUUAUAUCCAGAGUUCUCAGACAAUCACUGUCUGUGGCAAUUCCAAAACCUGUUGAAGAAACAAUUUCCUCUCUAUUCAUAAGUGAUACAUGGGCGCACUGAUUAGAUCACUGACUCCUUGUGCUUAUCAAGGUAACUUCUGGUUAUGCAGAACUGCUACGUAUCUAAAUGGGGAUGGAGCUCAUAGUGUGACGUGUAUAGCUGUGAGCAGACCAUGCUUAAUACAGGCAACUUUCUGCAACACAUCUACUCACACACAAGUCCCAUCAGCAUCAUGUCCACUGUUCAUCACACACCAGAGGAAAGCAACAGGAACAAAAUGGAAAGAGUAUGGUAAUACUCUCAACAAACAAG